GUUUCCCUUCUCUGUGAGUCGCUUUGGAUAAAAGCGUCAGCUAAAUGACUGAAA
rfam:Larimichthys crocea isolate SSNF unplaced genomic scaffold scaffold314, whole genome shotgun sequence.